CGUGUUUCGUGGACGAGUGGUACAAGGCGCUGCUCUGGUAAUGCUGACGUCUCGAUGGCAGUGGUUCGAACCCACUUGACGCGU
rnacentral:tRNA from 1 species